rnacentral:lncRNA from 1 species
CUCCCUGCCUCCCCACCACUGUCUUCUCCUCCGCCUUCACCAGUAAGUCCUCUCCCGGCUUCCUCUUUUCUGCCACUUCUUGUUUCCCUCCCCCAUCACCCUAUCUCUUCCACCAAUCACUCUCUCCUGAAAUUAAUGAAUUCCUUUCUUUGCUAAAGUCAGUGAAUGUUUCAGCAAGAUGAAAGGUUUGACUAAAAGAAUGAAAGAAGAAGUCCUCCAAAUUCUUGUUAGCUCCAAUUGGUGCUUCUCGUAACAUCCUCUGAUCUAUCUAUCUUCUACUCAGUAUAUAUUCCUCUCCUUUUUUGAUGUUGGUGACAUAUUGCGUGAUUCAACAAAGGAAUUCUUUGUUUAGAGAAAUUAGCCUUGUGGAUUUUCAUUUUUCUUUGUCCUUUUUCUGGGAAACAAUUGGAC